rnacentral:rRNA from 1 species
ACACGUAUGAAAGACAAGCUGAAAGACUUUUCUCAAUGAUGUAAGUGGUGGUGCAUGGUCGUUCUUAGUUCGUGGAUUGAUUUGUCUGGUCUAUUCCGAUAACGAGCGAGAUCCUAGCGUUCUUAAUAGGGGUUUAAGCCAAGUUUCGGGUAGAAAUACCCUUUUCUAGCUUUAAUUUAUUGCUUCUUAGACGUAUCAGAGCCGAUAAGGUUCUUGAAAUAGGUUAAUAACAGGUCAGUCAUGCCCUUAGAUGUUCUGGGCCGCACGCGCGUUACAAUGGUACACAUAGAAAGUGCCUAUUUUCGGGUUCUCUCCGGGUCCUAACGGCUUCGGUAAACAAUAAUCUUUUCCCUGACUGGGAUAGACUAUUGCAAUUAUUGGUCUUCAACGAGGAAUUUUUAGUAGUCGCAGGUCAUUAUCCUGCGUCG